AUUAACCUAAUUUUAUAUCCUUGUAUAAUAUCAGUUAAGAUUCGGUCUGAUAGUUUCUACCUGGCAGCCGCAAAAUGCCGGACUACAAGGAAGUAUGAUCAUAUA
rnacentral:ncRNA from 2 species